GGCAGAUGUCUUUUCAAGAUGGUCUUCAGACACCCACCAUGGGCAUGUUGAGAAGGUCAUUUGGCACAGCCGAUGUCAGCAA
ensembl:snoRNA small nucleolar RNA, C/D box 35B